rnacentral:rRNA from 1 species
GAUGAACGCUGGCGGCGUGCCUAAUACAUGCAAGUCGAGCGAACAGAUAAGGAGCUUGCUCCUUUGACGUUAGCGGCGGACGGGUGAGUAACACGUGGGUAACCUACCUAUAAGACUGGGAUAACUUCGGGAAACCGGAGCUAAUACCGGAUAAUAUUUCGAACCGCAUGGUUCGAUAGUGAAAGAUGGUUUUGCUAUCACUUAUAGAUGGACCCGCGCCGUAUUAGCUAGUUGGUAAGGUAACGGCUUACCAAGGCGACGAUACGUAGCCGACCUGAGAGGGUGAUCGGCCACACUGGAACUGAGACACGGUCCAGACUCCUACGGGAGGCAGCAGUAGGGAAUCUUCCGCAAUGGGCGAAAGCCUGACGGAGCAACGCCGCGUGAGUGAUGAAGGUCUUCGGAUCGUAAAACUCUGUUAUUAGGGAAGAACAUACGUGUAAGUAACUGUGCACGUCUUGACGGUACCUAAUCAGAAAGCCACGGCUAACUACGUGCCAGCAGCCGCGGUAAUACGUAGGUGGCAAGCGUUAUCCCGGAAUUAUUGGGCGUAAAGCGCGCGUAGCGGUUUUUUAGUCUGAUGUGAAAGCCCACGGCUCAACCGUGGAGGGUCAUUGGAAACUGGAAAACUUGAGUGCAGAAGAGGAAAGUGGAAUUCCAUGUGUAGCGGUGAAAUGCGCAGAGAUAUGGAGGAACACCAGUGGCGGAGGCGACUUUCUGGUCUGUAACUGACGCUGAUGUGCGAAAGCGUGGGGAUCAAACAGGAUUAGAUACCCUGGUAGUCCACGCCGUAAACGAUGAGUGCUAAGUGUUAGGGGGUUUCCGCCCCUUAGUGCUGCAGCUAACGCAUUAAGCACUCCGCCUGGGGAGUACGACCGCAAGGUUGAAACUCAAAGGAAUUGACGGGGACCCGCACAAGCGGUGGAGCAUGUGGUUUAAUUCGAAGCAACGCGAAGAACCUUACCAAAUCUUGACAUCCUUUGACAACUCUAGAGAUAGAGCUUCCCCCUUCGGGGGACAAAGUGACAGGUGGUGCAUGGUUGUCGUCAGCUCGUGUCGUGAGAUGUUGGGUUAAGUCCCGCAACGAGCGCAACCCUUAAGCUUAGUUGCCAUCAUUAAGUUGGGCACUCUAAGUUGACUGCCGGUGACAAACCGGAGGAAGGUGGGGAUGACGUCAAAUCAUCAUGCCCCUUAUGAUUUGGGCUACACACGUGCUACAAUGGACAAUACAAAGGGCAGCGAAACCGCGAGGUCAAGCAAAUCCCAUAAAGUUGUUCUCAGUUCGGAUUGUAGUCUGCAACUCGACUACAUGAAGCUGGAAUCGCUAGUAAUCGUAGAUCAGCAUGCUACGGUGAAUACGUUCCCGGGUCU